rnacentral:misc_RNA from 1 species
UUUCCGUAGGUGAACCUGCGGAAGGAUCAUUAACGAGUUAGGGUCUUCCAGGCCCGACCUCCCAACCCUAUGUUUAUUGAACCUCUGUUGCUUCGGCGGACCCGCCUCACGGCCGCCGGAGGACCGCUGCAAGGCGUCCUCUGGCUAGCGUCCGCCGAUGGCAAACCACUUAAACUCUGAAUGAAUCGUGUCAUAUGUCUAAGUCUAUGAUUAAAUUAAAGCAAAACUUUCAACAACGGAUCUCUUGGUUCUG